GGGUUGUGAGGUUAAGCGACUAAGCGUACACGGUGGAUGCCUAGGCAGUCAGAGGCGAUGAAGGGCGUGCUAAUCUGCGAAAAGCGUCGGUAAGCUGAUAUGAAGCGUUAUAACCGACGAUACCCGAAUGGGGAAACCCAGUGCAAUACGUUGCACUAUCGUUAGAUGAAUACAUAGUCUAACGAGGCGAACCGGGGGAACUGAAACAUCUAAGUACCCCGAGGAAAAGAAAUCAACCGAGAUUCCCCCAGUAGCGGCGAGCGAACGGGGAGGAGCCCAGAGUCUGAAUCAGUUUGUGUGUUAGUGGAAGCGUCUGGAAAGUCGCACGGUACAGGGUGAUAGUCCCGUACACCAAAAUGCACAGGCUGUGAACUCGAUGAGUAGGGCGGGACACGUGACAUCCUGUCUGAAUAUGGGGGGACCAUCCUCCAAGGCUAAAUACUCCUGACUGACCGAUAGUGAACCAGUACCGUGAGGGAAAGGCGAAAAGAACCCCGGCGAGGGGAGUGAAAUAGAACCUGAAACCGUGUACGUACAAGCAGUGGGAGCACCUUCGUGGUGUGACUGCGUACCUUUUGUAUAAUGGGUCAGCGACUUAUAUUUUGUAGCAAGGUUAACCGAAUAGGGGAGCCGUAGGGAAACCGAGUCUUAACUGGGCGUCUAGUUGCAAGGUAUAGACCCGAAACCCGGUGAUCUAGCCAUGGGCAGGUUGAAGGUUGGGUAACACUAACUGGAGGACCGAACCGACUAAUGUUGAAAAAUUAGCGGAUGACUUGUGGCUGGGGGUGAAAGGCCAAUCAAACCGGGAGAUAGCUGGUUCUCCCCGAAAGCUAUUUAGGUAGCGCCUCGUGAACUCAUCUUCGGGGGUAGAGCACUGUUUCGGCUAGGGGGCCAUCCCGGCUUACCAAACCGAUGCAAACUCCGAAUACCGAAGAAUGUUAUCACGGGAGACACACGGCGGGUGCUAACGUCCGUCGUGAAGAGGGAAACAACCCAGACCGCCAGCUAAGGUCCCAAAGUCAUGGUUAAGUGGGAAACGAUGUGGGAAGGCACAGACAGCCAGGAUGUUGGCUUAGAAGCAGCCAUCAUUUAAAGAAAGCGUAAUAGCUCACUGGUCGAGUCGGCCUGCGCGGAAGAUGUAACGGGGCUAAACCAUGCACCGAAGCUGCGGCAGCGACACUUAGGUGUUGUUGGGUAGGGGAGCGUUCUGUAAGCCGUUGAAGGUGACCUGUGAGGGUUGCUGGAGGUAUCAGAAGUGCGAAUGCUGACAUAAGUAACGAUAAUGCGGGUGAAAAACCCGCACGCCGGAAGACCAAGGGUUCCUGUCCAACGUUAAUCGGGGCAGGGUGAGUCGACCCCUAAGGCGAGGCUGAAAAGCGUAGUCGAUGGGAAACAGGUUAAUAUUCCUGUACUUGGUGUUACUGCGAAGGGGGGACGGAGAAGGCUAGGCUGGCCGGGCGACGGUUGUCCCGGUUUAAGCGUGUAGGGGGAGUGACCAGGUAAAUCCGGUUGCUUAUCAACCCUGAGGCGUGAUGACGAUGCACCACGGUGCAGAAGCAGUUGAUGCCAUGCUUCCAGGAAAAGCCUCUAAGCAUCAGGUAACAUUAAAUCGUACCCCAAACCGACACAGGUGGUCAGGUAGAGAAUACUCAGGCGCUUGAGAGAACUCGGGUGAAGGAACUAGGCAAAAUGGUGCCGUAACUUCGGGAGAAGGCACGCUGGCGUUAGGUGAAAGGACUAGCUCCUGGAGCUGAAGCCAGUCGCAGAUACCAGCUGGCUGCAACUGUUUAAUAAAAACACAGCACUGUGCAAACACGAAAGUGGACGUAUACAGUGUGACGCCUGCCCGGUGCUGGAAGGUUAAUUGAUGGGGUCAGCCGCAAGG
rnacentral:rRNA from 1 species